GAGAAAGAGUAAGUGUGUGGUGGUGGUAGCAGGUACAUGAGGUACAUGUACCUGCCUGGCAACCACUUGCAAAUGUACAUGAGGAGGCUGGGAGGGAGGAAGCCAUCUCUGGUGGUAGGCACAGUGUGGGAUGCUAUCCUUGUCAUUUCCUCUCCUCAUCUCCGGGUUGUCAAGUGCUGUGGCUUCUAUGUCUCUGUCGACAUCCCUUGACUCCCCUGUGACUUUGCUCUGCCCCCGGCCACUGUCUUGGAGCAAGCUACCAUCAACUUUCGCCAGGCCAACCACAGCACAGAUAUUUAGAAAACACGGUAUCAGCAGGACUCACUACCCGUGUAGACUCGGCUGCACACCACAGCCCCACAUGCAGCCAGACUGUGCGGCUCCAGUGUGGAAAGCCAGGCCACGCAUACUCUGAGCCUGUGAACUGCCUUCUUCCCUGUUGGCGUGGGACUCAGAAAUCUUGGUGGGUUCUUCUGGACCUUGUGCCACUGACAUCUGCCACUGCCAGCAAGUUGCCCUCUUAGCCUGUUCAAGGUGACACUCAGUUUGCAUGGCUGGGGAUCUGGCCUCUCUAUGCCUGCCCAUCCCCUGCAAAGCUUUAUGUUAGUGGAGCGCCUAAGGCACUGGGCAUCUGUGAGCUGCAGCGAUGGUCCGAGCAUCUGGGGAAGGAAUGCAGGUAGGUGAGCAGACGUCCGGGUCCGGUAUUCUCUCUCCUAGGGAACAACACACACAGAGGCUGGGCUGCCAGGGGUCUGAGGCAGAGAUCUCUCCUGCAGACCUGGAGUUCUCAUCUCCUCGAGUCUCCCAUAGACAAGGAGACCCCAUGUUUUGGCCACAGCAAGCUAAGGAUGAAUGACCUCGAUCCCUUAGAACAUCAGUUCCUGUUUUCCUGUCAGCCAGUCUUCAAAGAGCUUGAAGCUCAACAUCCAUCCUCCACUGGGGAGUGGAGCUGAAGGGAAACCAACACUGUUAUGACCUCCCUCUCUCUUUAAAAAAUAGUGUGUGUGUGUGUGUGUGUGUGUGUGUGUGUUUGUGUGUAUGUAAGCACGCAUAGUGAGUGCAGGCACGUGUGUGCCAGGGUGUGUGCACUCAGGUUAGAGACAAUCUGAGGAGCUGGCCCUCAUCUUCCACUGUUUGGAGACAGGGUCUCUUGCCUAUGUUUCAUGGUCCAGGCUGGCUGACCCAGGGGCUCCCAGGUACUUUCCUAGCCCUGCCUCCAUCUCCCCAUAGGAGAACUGGAGUUACACACUACCAUGCCCAGCUUGCAUUAGUUUGGAGAUCUGAACUCUGAUCCUCCUGCUUUUGGGCAAGCACUCUUUACCCCUGAGCUAUUUUCCCUAACUCUAACCUUCCUUUCUUUGUACAAGGUCCACAGCCCCAUCCCCACAGUGACUCAAUGAGACAAUUAGCAAAGCCAGGAGCGUAGAAAAACAGGAUCUACCCGUGGAAAUGAGAUUUCUGAUGUGGAGGCCCCUUAGGGACUCUAAAUUUGGCUCUGUAUUUCCUGGCACAUCCAAGGGCAACAACGAGAACAGAAUGAUCCAGACAGCAUAAAAGGAAAGUAGAUUUUGUAAGCCAUGGAGGAGCAAACACAGGCAGAUCUGUGCAGUGUGGGCACACAAGCUGCCCAGGAAACGGCAUCUGGGAAGGUCUGAGUAUCUGUCUGUGGGAAGCCCAGGGACAGCAUGGCUUGCUCUCCAGUGUUGAUGAAGGGCUGCGGAAGACUCUGGACUCUCUCAGGAUCAUGGCCGCUCUCUGAGAAAAGGACGAAAUUUGGUGGUGCGGUUAAAAGUUCAGAGGAUUGCUCAGUGCUUAAAGGCACUCGCUGCUGCUGCUGAGGACCCAGGUUCAGCACCCGCAGAUACAUACAGCCUCCACCAUCUGACCCAGGAGGAGGCCGGAGCAGCAGCAGAGACCCUCUUUGUUCCUGCAGGGCUCGUCAUUGCUGGGGCUGGGACCUGCUCCCCCGGCCUUUUUAGGUGCACACUCGUCUCCCUCCACACUGUUGUUCUCAGACAUGAGAAGAUGGGGCUGCACUUGUGGGUCAUGCUUCCGGACUUUCUGUUCUCAGAGAAGGCUUAGGAAGCCAAAAGUAAACACUCCUCGGGGCAUGAUAAACCAUUUUGUUUGCUUUGUCCUAUUUGUUUAUGCCAACACGGAAUAGAAAAAUGUAUGUUGGUCAGAAAACAGUAUUUCCUGAUAUUGAUUUUUGCAGAUACCAAGAUACAGAGGGGGAAGUCUGUGAAGUUCCAACAGGUCCCGAAAGUCUCCCCAGAUCCUCUACAUGAAAACAGUCUCUAAAGACAAAACAAAACAAAACCCCACGGUCAAUAACAACAUGAUUAUGACUGCACAACACAAAUGCUCAGUUCAAUAGCCCAAUUAAGGCAGCACGGAAGAAAGGCCUUUGCGUUGCACAGCCCUGGGGGCAUGUGCUGACCUGUGCCACAGACAGGCAGAGAGGCGUGAAUGAAGAACAUGGCCCCAUUUGUCAGCAGGAACAUGAGUCAGGAACUGGGGCCAGUUCCUUAGGAAAAAAAACUUUUUUUUUGGUUCUUUUUUUUCGGAGCUGGGGACCGAACCCAGGGCCUUGCUCUUCCUAGGCAAACGCUCUACCACUGAGCUAAAUCCCCAACCCCAGGCCAGUUCCUUAAACGUGGCGAUGAGCAGAAGUCAAUUCAGUGUAACUGGCCAAGUAUGGUCUGUGAGAGCGCAUGAGGGAUGGGGGUCUCCAUGCGGACCGGCCUGUGCCCCUGCUCCUGACACCUGUGUGCGAGGCCUUAGAUGGGUGCGAGAGUUGGGUGAGGUGGCUUCUCCAUGGGAUUUGACUGUGGAGCUUUGGGAACCCAAUCAAUGGCAGUGAGACAGGCUCCAGAUUCUUUCCCUGAAUGAAGCCUUUAGUGCUGUUUCAGUCUGACUAGGAAAACUAGAGAUAAGGUUGUGUAUCAGAAGGCACAUUCUGAUGACAGAGGAAAACAGACAGGAAAAACUUAAUGGAGAGAACCAAGAACUAUUGGGACUUAGAAGAGAAAAGGUUAUGGGCUCUGGAAUGCCCAGGAGAAGCACGCAGCCUAUGUAGGGGCGAUUGAGGAGAUAACAUGGCAUGUAGGGAGAAGAGGGAGACUAGGUUGAUUAGCUUCUGUCAGGGACAAAUGUCUGGAUCUUCUCCCAGAAUAUCUCAGUCUGCAGCAGAGUGGCCUUUACUUACUGUUUACUAUAAAAAUAAUUUCCUUCUAGAGCCUGCCUUGCUGCUAGUGCAAGCUAGCUUGUGGAUAGGCCGUAAUCACAUCUGGGAUGGUCUAGGUGCAACCCCAUCCUCAUUUGUGUCAGGCUCCUUGGGUCAGCCAGCCUAGCCUACUUGGUGACACUUCUGCUACAUUCCCUGGUGACAGGGCUGCCAGCCUGGGUAAGGAGCACGAAGCCAUCAUGUAUGGCUGGGCAGUCUGUUUCACUGCAGGGGCGCCCAGCAGGAGAAGGAGAGCUUGGGUCUCUCAACAAGGUACCCGGAUUUGUUUCAUGCACCUAAGGAAGGGGCAGCUUUUGUAUCCUUGCAAGGACAUAUAAGGGCUGGAAAUAGUUCUGGAAGGAAGGAGUCAGGUUGCUACGAUUUCCAAGGGCAGUCUGAGAGAGUGAGGCACAUCUUUUAAUCGAGACUCCCGGUUUCUGUGACUUGGGCAAAGUCAAUGAGACAUGUUAUCAGUGACACUGGGCGUCAGCUGCCUCUGUAGUCAGACAGGAAGGAUGGGAACUCAUGAGACAUGAGUUGUGGGAGUUAGAGUCAGCUGGCCCACAACCAAGCAUCCAUUCCAAAUCUGUUCACUAUCUAUCGUGAGCAAGAACUCAGCUUGGUUCUACGAACAACAUUAAAUAUCCAUGUAAAUUUACACUACAUAUACCUGACUUCACCAAUGGGAUUCUGUAAGGAGGACUCAGAAGAGUCCAAUGUGGGCAAGGGUGUGAAAGCAGAGAGCUGGAGGGCAUAUUACACUAGCCUGGAAUGACGCAGGGAGGGCCUUCCAGGAGGAAAUAAAAGAAGAGACCAGCUAUAAAGAUGUGUAUGUGUGUGUGUGCAUGAGUGUGUGCAUGUGUGUGUGCACGUGCGUGUUUUAGAAAAAGUCAGUAUGGGCUGGAGAGAUGGCUCAGUCUUUGUACUUUCAAGCACGAGGGUCUGAGUUCAGUCCGUGGAACCCACAUAAAAAUGCUGGGUGUGGCAGCAGGCACCUGUAAUCACAGAACUAGGGAGGCAAAGAGAAAUGGAUCCCCGGGGCUUGCUGGUCAGCCAGUCUAGCCUACUUGGUGAGUUGCAAUACCCUGUCAUAAAGGAUGUGUCUGGGCUUCCUGAGGAUGGCAUCUACAGCUUGUCCUCUGGUCUCCACAUGUGUGCCCAUGCACCUGUACACACACGAUUGUGUAAACCCACACCUGCCUUAAGAUUUUUAAAAAAGCUUUGAUUGCAGGCAAUUAGCUUAGGGAAGGAACAAAGUGAGCCUAGAAGUGUGGGGUUUGCCGUGAGGGCAUUGCACUCACUGGAGGGCCAACGAGUGUCCAUCGAUCAGAUGCGCUAGACUGAAUAGACAGACAAGUGCAAGACAGGACGAAGCCCCUGGGGAAGAGAAGGUGCCACAGUGGUCCUGACAAGAGAUGAAGCCUGGCAGGAGGGGAAGGGUUAAACCAGGUGUCUAUUAAGGAAACCUGGAAGUGAGUGAGGAAGCUUCAAAGUUCCCAUAGGACCGAGAUAGCGUCCAGGGUGGGAAUCUAAGGCCAUGGUCCUCUAUCUCUGUUACGUGAUCCCCUAGCAGGGCCUUCUCUAUCUUUGAUUGGGCGAUUCGUAAGAACAGUGAGACACUAUUUGCUAUAGUGACUCUGGAUCUACUCCGGCCUGACGGACUCGGGUGAGUAGAGAAGAAGAGUCAUGUUCCUUAGCUGACAGAAAAGAAACUAGGGAUGAGGAGAGCGCUGUGGAUGAGGAGAGCGCUGUGGGAGCAAGUUUCCAGACAACACAGGAAAGACACUUUCCAUCUUCUUCAUCUCCAAGAUUUGCUGUGCUGGGCUGCGCUUCUCUCUCUCUCUCUCUCUCUCUCUCUCUCUCUCUCUCUCUCUCUCUCUCUCCCUCUCUCUCUCUCUCCCUCAGCCUCUGAGGUAUCUACGGUCUCCCUUUGGAACUGUUACAGUUUGCGGGGCACAUGCUCCUUGGCAUUAUAUCACAGUGGGUAUAGGCUCUGGCACCUGUAAGUGCCCUGCUCCCCUUCUCUAAGUGAUGUCGAGCGUGCCGCCGUUCCAGGCCAGCAGUGGGGAGGGAGAGCUGAAACCGAUGUGCUCUGUAGUUUCCAUUAUGUAAAAAUCCCACUCAGUGCUCAGAAUGAGAAGGGAAAAGCUGGCUGCACCGACUGCCACACGGCAUCCCAGCUGGAGGCACCACAGGCUGUCCUGAGAAGGGUUCUGUCACUGGGUGCUCACGGUUUUUAAGCCUCAGUGGUGAUCAUUCAGAGUUGGAUGGACCAUUUACUUUCUCACAGUUUUGUCUCUAAGAGAAAGUAUCUGGUUGCUGCCCAGAGCGGCUCCCUCAUUUAUUUACCUGGGUCCCUCCAAGGCUAGGACACACUCUGUACAUGGUAGGUGCUCAGUAGAUGCUGGCAGAGUGAAGAAGUCUUUGGCGUGCCAUGUGAAUAGCUUGACAACUGUGAUCUAAACUCACUUACUUCUUUUUGUCCAAUGGUUUGCAGAAAACUGCAAAAUUCAUCUUGAAUCGAAAGGAACUUGGCUUUUUCUGUUCCUUCGGAAUCCUUGAGGUAAGUCAUGCUUUCCUGAAAAUACUUCUCGGCCACAUCUGAGAAAAGCAUAGAACAACAAUUUUGAAAACAGCUGAAAGACCCAAGCAGAGAUGGAGCAAAGAUGUUGUUAGUGACAGUGAAACAUUUAAAACACGAGCAUUUGGAGAAGAGACGUCAGUCCAAGGGACUCUCUGGGGCCCACUAUCCUGCCUGUGCUGGCAGAGAUUAUUUAAGUCUCAGAAGGAGACUGCAACCUGCUUUCCUUAUUUUUAGUGUUCUUUGUGACAUACAAAGCAAAAUUAAUGGGGUGAGAAAGGAGAAACUGUCCCCAGACCUGAGCACAUUAGGACACAUUAGGGUAUUGUCAUGUUGAGUGAGAGUGCAUUAUCUCUGCUUAGACAUCAGUCACUCUUCACAGCUCACGCAGUUUUAUGGACUCUAACUGUAAUCUUGUUAUAUAUUUCUACAACACACAUAUACAUACACACACACAAACACAUAUAUACACACACACAAACACACAUACACACAUACACAUAAACACAUACACACAUAUACACACACAUACACACAUAUACACACACAUACACACACAAACACACACAUGGACACACAUGGACACACACACACACACACACACACACACACACACACACCAAUAAACAAAACAGAACCAAAAGAAAAAAAAGACAAAAAAAAAAGUCUGGUUGAUAAACUACUGAAGAACCCCAACCAUUCUAAACCCUUAAACACACAAAUUAAUAAAACAAAAAGUUUCAAGUAAAUGACAACCAUAAAAGCAGGACAGGGAAGAGCCCAGGCAUGGAAAAUGAAAAUGAAAUUAAAAACCAGAACUGUGACUAUAGACAGCCCUCUUGUUAUACCAAAUGCCUGAGCUAAUCUAAUGCAACUUAAAGUGAGGAAGGCCAUGUUUUGCUCAUGUUGUCGGAGGUGUCGGUCUAUGACUCAGUGACUGUUGCCUCUGCUCUGCCGAGGCUAAGAGAACCUGUAAUAUCAUGUCAUGGUAACUAGAAGUGGGGAGAAUCAGGAAGGACCGGGGUUCCCGACGUCACCGCUGAGAGGUUCUGAGGCUGGUCAAUAGUAGUAGCACAGGCUGUGGGCCAAGCCUUUAGUAUAAGGGCCUCAGGAGGGCCACAGCCAGACUGUGGCAAACAAGGGAAAGUGGCUGAGCACUCCACAGACCUAUUAGAAACAGUGUAUCCACUCAGCACCCGGGUUUCCCAGGCUGAUCAGGACUGGGGAUGGGGCCUGAGGCUGGUUUGUGGUAGGAAGCUGAGUGAAGCUGCUGGUAAGAGGCCAGCAUGGUGCUUCAAAGGCGACUUCACUGCUACUCAUCCCUGUGGCUCUGGGCCAGAGUCCUGAGUGUGCUGUGAGAUCACAGGUCUCUGCUGGCUUUUAGAAAGUGACAUCUCUUGGGCACCACUGAAUCACAUGGGCUUUUGUUAUUAAUUUGUUUUUUGAGACAGCCCUGGCUGUCCUUGAACUCACAGAGAUCAACCUGCCUCUGCACUCUAGAGUGCUGGCACCACUAUGCCAGACACCUAGGGUUUUUCUGACCAUAGAGAAUCUUCUCCAGCUGGUGACAGAAAAAGGAGUCAGAGACCCUGGGAGCUGCUGUGGUUUGGGUCUAGAUUGCCUCCCAGUGGCUCACAUGCUAAAGGCUUGGUUUCCAGACUGUGAAACUAUUAGAAGGUAGUGAGACAUUUAAGAGAGAAUCUAACUGAAGGAAAUCAUGCUACUGAGGGUGUGCACCUGGCUCCCUUCUUUUCUCUCUCCUUUCUUUCUGGCUGCUAGGAGGUAAGUGGCUUUCUCUGCUAUGUGCUUCUGCCACUGGCAUUCAGCCUCCCCAUAGGCCUAAAGCAACACAAAUGGAGACUUCUGAACCAUGAGCUAUAGAGGGAAUCUCUUGAGCACUGUAUGGAAGCAUCACCUGUCAAUAAAAAGCUAAUGGCCUAUUAGCCGAGGCAGGAAAUAGGAGGCGGGAGUUCAAGUAGGGAGAGAGGAACUCUGGGAUAGAAUCAGGCACAGGAAGAGAUUCUCCCAGAACCCUGAGGAGACAGAUGCAUGAAACUGAAGAGAGGUAACCAGCCAUGUGACACUCAUAGAAUUGACAGAUUAAUUAGUUUACGGACCCAUCGGGGAACAAGCCCAAGCUUAUGGCUUACACAUUUGUAAAUAAUAAGUCUCAGAGUCGUUAUAUUGGGAACUGGAGUGUGGGUGGAUAAGCCCACAGCUACAAUGAAUCAAAUAAACCUUUCCUUCUGUUAAGCUGUCUGUUCUCAGGAAUUUGUCACAGUGGAAGGCUGACUAUCACAGAAGCAUUAGGGGGUGGAGUGACGGAAGGAAGGUCUCCAUUGCCAAUAUGAACAAGGGCCCUAGAGGAGUGAUUGACCAACGAGAAAACAAGGCUGUAGCUGUAGGAAACCAAAAUCUGAUAUCAACGGGAAAGAGAUCAUAAAAAGACCCGAGCUGUGGAUGACAGUAGGGCUGACCGGCUGCUUGACUGCAGCCUCGGCAGAGAAAUCAGCCUUGCUGUGCCAGACACCCGACCUCAGAACCAGGGGCUAAUAAACAGCCCCUUCAAUGCAGUUUUGUGUUUAUGUGUGUGUGUACAUGCACUUGAGUGUGCAUAUUCGGAGGUAUGCACACCCAUGUGUAUACUGAGGGCAGAGGCUGACACUGGGCUAUCCUUCUCCACUUUAUUAUUACCAGAAUAUUGAGACCAGGUCUUGCGCUGCUUGUGGAAACUUUCCUUUUCAGCUAGACUAGCUGGCCGGCGAGCCGGGGAUCCUGCUGGGGUUAUAGUUGGAGGUCCACCACGCCUGGCUCUUACGUGGGUGCUGCAGAUCUAAGCCUGGUUGCUUAUGCUUUCCCAGCACGCACUUCAUCCUCUGCGCUCUCUCUAGCCCCACAACUAUAAUGUGUCUGCAACAAAGGGAAACUACUGUGGGGAAUAUAACCUUUAAGGUCUAUAUUGUUCAGAUACAUAGUUUACAAUAGUUUGGAAUUAAACAAAUUUUAAAGAGCAAACAAAAGAAAAGAAAUACAGCCAGAAUUAUGUUUUAAAUGGUGGGUCCUCCCCCUUAAAUUCAUGCUAAGACUCUAAUCUCCAAGGUGAUAGUCUUUUAGAGGUAACGGUGUCACGGGGAUGGAGCCCUCCUGAAUGAUACGUGUAUGUGUGUGUGUGUGUGUGUGUGUGUGUGUGUGUGUGUGUGAGAGAGAGAGAGAGAGAGAGAGAGAGAGAGAGAGAGAGAGAGAGAAAGAGAGAGAGAGAGACAGACAGGCAGACAGACAGAUAUACAGACAGACCCUGGUCAGCUGCCUUGACCCGCUUCUCUAUGAAGAGCCAGUGUUAAACAGAGCUGGACUAUGCAGGAGGCAGCUACCAUGAGACAUCAAACCUACUGGUACAUUGACCUUGGGCUUCUCAUCUCCAGGACUUUGAAAAAGAAAUUAUUACAUCACCUAAUCUAUGGUGUUCCGUCAUGGCAGCUUGAGCAGAUUAAGGCAGUGGAGUAGCUCUACAACUAGAAAUGAGUGGAGGCCUUAGGGCUGUCCACCUGCAGACACGGGCGCACCACACUUGUGAAAACUGCCACUGAAAUUAGAAGCUUCCACUUAUUACGUAGCACAUUCCUGUCUUCACAGCUGUAGCUAGGGGCUUCUCUCAUGCUGGCCAAGAAACAGAUGCAUCAGAAUUAGCUGGUAGCUUAGAUGGACACUGUUUACAGAAACACAGUGAAAACGGACAGACAGAAUGGCCCAAAGACACAGAAGCCCCAGAUCAUUUGUGGAUAAGCAAUCCUGCACCGUGAGAGAGCUUCGAGAACAUGGCUGGAAUUCUCAGCGCGAGUCCCGGGUGCUGAGGCGUGAUCCAAGCACACGCCUUCCUUCAGGGAGAUCGUUAGGAAGGGAAGAAGUAAACGCAGAGGAAAGUGUCUUCCUAAUGGGCACGGCUGAAGAAAACCCAGGUCUGGGACCAGGUGCUGUUCAUCUGCAAGGUUCCCUCCUGAGGUUCUGGGCAGGAGCAGGGUUCGUGGCACUUUGUCUCUAGGGCAUGCCUCCAGAAGCCGAAUCCAUAUUAACUGAACUGGAUGCCCCUCACCCUCUCCCAGACCUACGCACUCCUACGAUAUGGAAGAAAGUCCUUUCAUAUGGAAACUGCUAUCUAUAUAUCUUUACUCAUUGCUGAACUGUCAAUCCAAGUAUCAACUCUGACUUUGAAGGUCUGGUGACAGUGUUGGAGGUAGUGUGGCGUUUAUUUUAUGGAUAAAAGCGUAACACGAACAUCAAAGUCUAAUAUGACUGCGGUGUUCUGGAGCGGGGGGCACUUGAUAUUUUAAUUUUCUAGCUAACUGUGAACCAAUAAAAGAGUGUGCCGUGAUCCUGUAAGAGUAAAACAGAACUGGCUGGAUGGGCAGGCCGGUGGUGUGUGACAGUGAUCCCAGCACGCCCUGUCUGUUCCCAGAAGACCUCUAGACAAAGGAAAAUGAACAGUAAGGCUAGGGAGCAGAAUGGCCCUGACAGCAGGUAUCACAGGCAAGCUGACUUGUAUCUACAAUGGCACAUCAGGGUCCUUGCCUCACAGAAUGUCCUGAAUCAUAGAAACGGCAGGAAGAGGGACCUCAGGCAUCAACAGUGACAUUCUCCCUGACUGUAAAUCUAAAGUAAUUUCAUCUUUAUCUGGAAAAAAAAAUCCCUUUUAUCACAGGAUCCUGACUUACUUCCUCACCUCUCCAGGCCCUAAAUGACUGUGAACCAUGGUUGUAUGACAGGUCUUUGUGGAGUUGUAUCUGAAAGAGAUUGUUUUCUGGGGCCGGGAGGGAGAGCUUAGGGCUUGAGGGGGAAGUUUAGGUACCCUAGAUUCAUUUGGAACAAAGGACAAGAGAGUUUACAGAGUUUGGAAGCCAUGGCCGCUGGAUGGGAAGCCACCUCCUGGCAUCUUCCUAUGUUCCGAAGCUGGGUAUGAUUCACAGAGGCAGCAAGCAGCUCAGUGUUCUUGCACGUGGCUGCCCUCAACUUUAAAAAGCACUUCUAGAAUCCUCUGCAACCCGAUUCCGACAGCCUGGGCAAAGAUGAAGUCAUCUCUGAAACAUGGACCGGUGACUCAGCUGGGGAAUCUGAGUCCUGGUGGCGGAGGUAAGCCAGGACCAUAAACCUCUUUCCACUCCUACCGCAGCAGCACAGUGUUUGGGUUGUCUCCGGGCUCCAGCAGCGGGAGGGAGGGAGCUAUACUGUGGACAGGUACUUUAACCGUCUCUGCAGAGGGCUCCAUCAGGGGACUUGGAAGACAGAUAGACUUGCAAAAAGAGCUUCAUACACAGGCAAAGGGAAGCAAAGCCUAUUCAGACAGCCAGAGAAGAGGGCUGCAGAGGAAGGCACUGAAUGUGUGUGUGUGUGUGUGUGUGUGCACAUGUGUGUGCACAUGUGUGUGCACAUGUGUGUGCACAUGUGUGUGCACAUGUGUGUGCACAUGUGUGUGCACAUGUGUGUGCACAUGUGUGUGCACAUGUGUGUGCACAUGUGUAUGCAUGUACGUGUGUGUUUGUGUGUAUACAUGUGUGUGCAUAUGUGUGCACAUGUGUGUACAUGUGUGUAUGUGUGUACACACGUGUGUGCAUGUGUACAUGUGUAUGUGUGCACAUGUGUGUGCACAUGCGUGUGUACGAGUGCGCACCCACAUUUAUGUGUAUGGGGAUAUGUGUGCUGCUGUGCAUCUGUGACAGGGCAACUUGUAAGAGUUGGUUCUGCCCUUCCACCAUUCGGGUCCUUGCGGUCAAACUCAGAUAAUAAGGCUUGGUGGGAAGCACUCUUAUCUUCUGAGCCAUCUCUCUGGCCCAGGUCAGGAAGCUUCCAAGUAAAAUAGAUACUAGUUAACCUAGGGUUCAUUUUCCUGAGGCUGUUCUGAGACAGGAGGAGGGGUGGUAAGGACAGCUUCCUUAUGUGGGAGGGCUCCAUGUACAAUGUGACAAUCUUCUAACAGUGUCAAAGACAAUCUUUACACUAACUGCAGAUGUUUAAGGACUCUAGGAAAUUUAAAAACAGGAAGUCUCUAAUCUAACUUGACCCUCGCUGGGCAAAGACUGAGCUACUGAGACUACAGUGGGUGCUGCUAUCCCAACCACCUGUAAGGUCCCCAGGGGAGGCCUGGGGGCUCAUGCCUUACUUUUUCCACACACCUGAUCCCACGCAGUAGGUGGCUGAGCUGUUAAACGUGCUGUAAAAUCUAAGGGAGUUCAUACAUGUUUCGGGGGGCAGGUAUGUAUCAGAAAGCAUGGUGGCUAUACUGAGCAAGAGGCCAGAAGAAGCUUGCAGGGUAUAAAGGUGCUGAUCAUUCUCACGAGGCCUGACAAGGGGCUCGGACGCCAUGAGAUCUGCUUGCCUCGGCAUCUUCACCCUCUGGAGCUGUCCACACUCCCCACUCCCACCCCUCUGCUGCUUAGAUCCCAUACAGGGUCACACCGGCAAAAGUUAGGCAUCUUGCAACCUUAGACCUCCAAUCCCCUAGGUUAGGGCAGUACAUGUGUUCUCCAGAGAGCUGCCUUAAAAAUCCUUUUCAAAAGCAUCAAGUAUAAAUAGCAUGGCUUUUCUGAGAAGUUCUGGACACAAAUCUUACAUGCUGGCAUCUAAACAGACAGCCCAAGCCUUGAGAAAGUGGCUGUCAGGCUGUGCACUUCAUUCUGCCCAGCAAUGGCACAAAGGACUCUCAGGAAAGGCGGCCACUGGUCAAGUAGGGUUCCUGAGAUCUCUGCUCUACCCUGGGCCAUUCCCGAGGGAGAGGAUCCAGCCACCCAGGACUUGGGUUCUUCCACUGACCCCAAGAGCUACCAAGUGAGCAGCCCCUACUUGCGUUCUGGGUUAACCUGUGCCACUAGGGUUUGAGGUCUGUGGUGUGAGCCACCUUUUGGGAUGGAGGAUAUAGGCAGGAGACAGUUUGUGGUCCCCAUUCUAAGACCUCGUGCUGUUGUAUCUGCUGAACGACCUUGCCCUACAGUUCCCUAGAUGUGAGGAUAACUUCCAGAAGUUUCUGAGAGGGGAUUAUUCUGGUGCUGGCGGAAACAGAAGGAGCAUCCCUUUGCAUCUCAUGGCCUCACCCAUUUCUCCCUUGCUUGCAAGGGGCUCAGAGCAGGCAGGCAAGUGCAGGCUGGUGAGUCCUGAGUAGAGGGGUGAGGAUAAGGAAGGGUCUCUCAGAGCACACGGCACCAGGGCCUGGGAAGGCUGGGGAGGGGAAGGAGAUCGAGAAGAGCAACACGAGGAUGGAGGGACACAGACAGGGUACAGCGGGAUGGGGUAUCUGCCAGCAGACUAUACCUCACCACAGAUCCACUACAGAAGCCUGGAGUGAAGGAGGGGAGAAGGGGGCAGCUGAGGAAGGCCACGGGAAGGUACAGGCUACGGUCAGCGAGUGCUCCCAGCUGCCAUCUUACCCAUGAGGAGACCCCAGGCUCUAACAGUUACAACAGCCUGGAGCUACCUCACUGCUAGCCUGUCAAGACACUCGGGGUCUAAGGGGCAUUAUAACACGGAGCCACUGUGUGGAGGAGGGACGGAUGUACCCAAGGCAAGCAGGGCUAGCAGGGCACAGGGGAAGGGUUGAGAAAAGGGAGGGCUGUGGAAGGUCACGGAGACGUGCCCAGGUAAUUACUUGAGGGAGGGGGGCUUCAUAAACAUUUUUCAUUAUGCCUGUGCAAAACAUAGGAGAGGCUAGGACUAGUGGGAGCUGAGAAAUAGGUGCAUGUGUGCACAAGGAGUUACACACAGGGGAAACCCAGGCUCCGAGAGAGAGGCAGACACCAUUCCCGCUGUUGUCUUGAGACCCACUGGACCUCCUUAGCCUGCUGGUGCCCAGGACAACACGGAGACACUUCCAAACAAGGCUGCCUGCUCUGAGCAGGCCCUGCAGCACAAAGGUUUACAGUGUAAUGUACUUGGCUUUGGUCCAUUUCAUUUUAAUAUCCUUAAGGAGAAGCACUCUAAACACAAGGCCAAGGCCCUGGACACUUAGCAGGGUUGGGAGAGCUGUUAAUACCAAGUUUGUCUAUGGCUGCUCUGGGAAGCUGGCCAGGCCCAGGUUAGUGACAUUCCGCGAGCCUGAAUUGGGAAUCUUGAGGCAAGCACAAGCCUCCCAGACUUCUAGGGCAGUUUUGUCUGUAUGAGGAAUGCAGGACGGCACAGUGCAAAGGCACCGGCUCCAGCCUGGAGCCAGAAACGCUUCAGGGCCAGCAGUGUUGCGUCCUAGCAGACAAUGCCUUCAAUGGACAUCCAGCAAGGGUGCAGGAGCAGACCAGAGACAGAAAUCCUCACAUGGGAACUUAGGCUUUUUAAAGAAUCUAUUGCCUUUUUCUCCCCAAACAAAAAACAAAACCGAAAGUCUAUUAGGUACCCACAGGUUUAAACACAAAAGAGCAAAGGCUGGAUUGCCCCUUGGUACCCUGAAAGACGGGCAGGUUUGCUUCUGGGGGGAAUCUUGGGACUAGAAAUGACUGUAGUCCAGGCCAGAAAGCCCUGGGUGAGAGCAGUGGGUAGGGGUGGGGUGGGGACUGUAUCUUCCAGACUCCCCAGUGGUCCGCUUUCCUUUCCCCUGCAGGGGGCAGUAGAGGCCUGGAUAGGCCUCAAUCCUGGCUGGGUCUCUCACAGACUUGCCAUGGUGACUUCUUCCAUAUAAAGGGCAGUGGAGAGAAGGCAGAUGUGGGGAUGGGCUUGCUUAGUCUCCAGCUCUACUCCCUGCCUGGGCGGUUGUCUCCUGUUUCUGCUUCAGAAGGAAGGUGAAUCCCUGGACUCUAGUCAGGCUGCUUCUGCUCUACACCCCCCACCCCCACAGCACUUGCAGGAGGAAAUACAAAGACAAAGUGUGGAGCAAAGACUGAAGGAAAGGCCAUCCAGAGACUGCCACACAUGGGGAUCCAUCCCAUAUACAGCCACCAAACCCAGACACUAUUGCGGAUGCCAAGAAGUAUAUGUUGACAAGAGCCUGAUACAGCUAUCUCCUGAAAGACUCUGCCAGAACCUAACAAAUACAGAGGCAGAUGCUCACAGCCAACCAUUGGACAGAGAAUAGGGUCUGCAAUAGAGGAGUUAGAGAAAGGACUGAAGGAGUUGAAGGGUUUGCAACCCCAUAAAAAAAUCAUUAUAUAUAUACAUAUAUAUAUACAUAUAUAUGUGUGUGUGUGUGUGUGUGUAUGUAUGUAUGUAUGUAUCACCAUAAUAAAGAUUGAAAAAGCAAACAGAAUAAGAGAAGCUCUGAAUCCCCAAUCCCUGAAAACCAUGAGCCCAGCAACUUCCUUUCAGAAUCUCAAGGCUCCGGGACCAGAGCUGUGCUCACCCUCAUCAUAUUUGCAUCAGUCGCCAUCAGCCAACAACUGAAGAUUUCACAGGCAGAUACUGACAGCAUUAGCUGCCUGUCAUGUGGGACCAUGUUGCUAGAGAAACACAGUGGAUACAAUCUUCUCUAGUUUGGCCACAAAACAAUCACUAGAGUGUGUGUUUCCUGUCACACACAGGAUGCCAGGAUGACCAAGUAGAGAAUCCCCAAAUCUCAUACUCUAACUAUCCUGCCGAGACUAGGAAAUGCAUAUUGAGUGCUGGCCUCUGCUUGAAAUCCUGACACCGAUGUACACGUUCACCGAACGCCUCAAUGGCUCAAUCGUUGCCUUGGAAAGCAGAGAUGUCCCUCUUGGCCGUGCACGAGUCUCCCACGCUUCAUGGUGUUUUGGAUGAAGAGUGACGUUCUGGAGGGGAAAGGGCUGGAGUGCAGAGACGAAAGCUCAAGGAGGUUACACAGCCACUGAGCUCCAGUGCAAUGGCCCAUGCCACAGUCUCACCCACCCGAGACACAUCCCAAGCUGCAUGUGUGUGUGUGUGUGUGUGUGUGUGUGUGUGUGUGCGCGCGUGAGCGCGCGUGCUGCAGGUGUCUGUGCUCACCAUGGUGGUCGUGCAUCCCAGAAGCAACGGCAGCCCGGGCAAUAGAGAGUGCAGAGUCUGCAGCAUCCUCUGGGGAGGGUUCUUUACUCAGGAUGAUGAGAUGUGCCUGUCACCAGAGAGAAGAGACAAGUUGUUUACGGGCAGCAGCGACAGAAAACCUUCCUGCAGCGAUAAGCAGGAGGUCAAGGAACUUUGCAGCAAGCUGGGAGGGAUGAUUGAUGAAGAAGUGCAAUUUCUUGUGGGAAUUUGAGAAGUGCUGGGUGGAAGCCAGGGCCCUAGAUGCUGCAUCCACUGGGCUAGAGACUGUUGCUGGAGCCUAUCCUUAAAAUAAAUCCUUUAAAAGCUUAUGGUCAUUUGAGUCAGCAAAGACUACGGAGAUGGCAGUUGGGAUCGGGGAGGGGAGGUUUUAAGAAGUGAAAAGUAUCACAGAGGUGCCAAGGAAGCUGGCAAGUCCAGCUCCUGGCCACUGCUCAGACCAGAACAUGGAUCUUGGCUGCAGAGAGGCUUUGCUGUCUGAUCACCCAGCCCACUAGCCUGCAGCCUGUGAACCCUGGCUGACGGAGGAGCUGCUGUAGCACCAAGAGCUGCUCAGUUUCCUUGUAAUAAAGUUCAUUUAAAAGCUGCUUAAUAAAAAUGGCCUUCUAUAAACGAAAAAAUAAAAAUUCUUUCAAAUGAAA